rnacentral:lncRNA from 1 species
CCCGGCCACCAGCUCCCUCAGAAGCCGCGCACGUGCAGCGCCCGAGCGAUCGGACGGCUCAGAGCCACAGCCACCUCCGCGCACUGAGUGCUCACCACUUGUCCCCCACGACCACGACAGAGACAGAAGUGCAAGACUCCCUGGCGGAAUCUAGGGGUACUCCCCCGGGACAUCGCGGAAGGAGCGACAUGGUGCGCUUUCCUGGAGCCCCGGCUGCACGCAGCCAAUCCGGGAGAGAGCCCUGGCCUGUCGCCGCGCCCCGGGGAACCGGCAGCGUGGCUUCGUGGCUCUGCCCCAGGCUGGAACUGCGCGGGAUGCAAACGCGCGCGCUGCUGCGACUGCUCUCCGGCUCCUUUCCCCCACAGUCCUCCGCGCGCCUCACCUUCACGGAGUCCACCGGGUACAUGAUGGAGUGCUCCAGAAUCCCGGCCAUCGCUCCCGCUGUCAUGUGGGUGGACACCGAGGCGCUGGUCGGUAGGUUCUCGUAGUCCUCCGACCCGGCGUCCUUGCUGCCGCAGCCGCCAUCGCGGCAGUCCCCAUCCAUCCUCCGGCCCGCAGCCUGGUUCCCCACGCCGCCACGGCGGAGCUCCAUCCGCGGCCCCGCGGGGCGCGGGAGGCGGCAGGAGGUGGGCAGGAGGGGGAGGGGGAGGAAAACUUCACUUCUUAAAGUGGGAACCUCCUCCCCCGGGUUGCGGCGGCUGACGCCAUGGCGGGCUGGGGUGGAGCCGAGCGGCCAGAAGCACCAAUAGCUGGAGAAGAAGAGGCCGGCCGUGGCCGCGCUAUUGGUGCGCCGGGCAGAGGGCACCCACCUCUCUGUGUGACGUCGCUGCCCGCUGCACAUUUCCAAGCAACCGGACGGGGGCGAGAGCAGACAUUGGGGUGUCCCGGGAAGUUGUACUACCUAGAGGGUGGUGACCAUCUGCAAGGGACAGUCAGGUCCCUGGGGAGAGUCAGCAGAAGGGAUAUGCUCAGAGCUGCAAGAGCAGGAGAAGGGGCUGUCCCCAGAAUCGGUAGUUUUGCAGACACUAAUCAACCAGCUUUAGCAUUCCGAAGGCUGGGGAUCUGGUAGGAGGUGAGGUCUGUUACUGGGAAUGUCAAUUAUGAAGCGGAGUGGUUGGACAAUAGAGUGCUUGUAGGAAUCUAGAAUUGAGGAUACACUUGGAUAUGUGCUCGUUUUGUAUUCUGCUAGGGCCCAUUCCAGGGAAUGAACAGUUAACACUCAAGGUCCCCGCUUCUAGUCAGCUUUGCUUGGGAAUAAUCUUGGAGAUUGGGAAGUGUGUUUCUCUUCUGAAAACAACGAAGAGCUAAGUGUAUGCUGCUCUUGUUCUCUGAAGAUCCAAGUCCACCCUGUCCUGGAUAGACCAAGACAAUCGUAGCAGGGACAGAACCCUUCACUAAGCAGCUCCCUGGGACAUUUACUUGGGGUUUGUAAGAUCUUUAGCUGAUGUCACAGCAAGAGUGCUCAAGUGAACUGAAUAAAGCUUUGCAACACUGCCU